UACGAAGGUCCCAAGCGUUAUCCGGAUUUAUUGGGUUUAAAGGGUGCGUAGGCGGGUUAUUAAGUCAGUGGUGAAAGCCUGCAGCUUAACUGCAGAAUUGCCAUUGAUACUGAUGAUCUUGAGUAUGAUUGAGGUGGGCGGAAUGUGUCAUGUAGCGGUGAAAUGCUUAGAUAUGACACAGAACACCGAUUGCGAAGGCAGCUCACUAAGUCAUAACUGACGCUGAUGCACGAAAGCGUGGGGAGCGAACAGG
rnacentral:rRNA from 1 species